rnacentral:tRNA from 1 species
GAUGAUGGAGCUGAGUAGUAAAGCACUUGCCUAGCAUGCAGGAGGCUCUGGGUUUGAACCCUAGCACUGUAU